GGAGUUUAACAGCAUGUCAGCUAGAAAGUGUGAAGAGAUUUAUACCUGUCUGGGGAGUUCACAUGUAUCAACCUACCUCAAGAAUCAGUGGAUUUGUAUGGGAGGUUUGUGGUCCAAUUUUGGAAGGACAUUCUAUCACCACAACAGCGAAACCAACAACAAGGCAGAGAGAUUUUUUCUAACAAUGAAAUACCAGUUUCUUAAGGGAAGAAUGAAUAACAGGAUUGAUAAGCUUCUUCGCUUGCUGUGUGGUGAUGUCCAAAAAUAUUACAGUUACCUAGAUGAACUGACAGACACUGGACGAAUAAAAGGAGGGAACACUGAAGAGACCACAAAUGCUGCGCAUUGCAUGAUUGCAAAAGGCUUGGAUGCAAAAAUGGAGAUAAAUGAAAAUGGAGUGUGUUUGGUUCCACCAGAUAUAAGCACACAAUCUCACAGAGUUGCCUUGGUGAUGCAUAAUUGCGAUUGCAAAAUAUUCCAGUGUGGAUCUGUGUGCAAACACUUAAUUUUCUCAAAAAUCAUUGCAGAGAAACAAGGACUUGUAAUUCAAGACCUUAGGGCAGAAGCAGCAAGAAAAAUUGUUGACAGUGAA